rnacentral:rRNA from 1 species
AUUGAACGCUAGCGGGAUGCUUAACACAUGCAAGUCGAACGGAGUGGCGGACGGGUGAGAAAUAUAUCGGAACGCGCCCAGUAGCGGGGGAGAACUACUUGAAAGAGUGGCUAAUAACGCAUAACAUUUGAGAGGGCGAUAUCGGAUUAGCUAGUUGGUGGGGUAAAGGCUCACCAAGGAAACGAUCCGUAGCUGGUUUGAGAGGACGACCAGCCACACUGGGACUGAGACACGGCCCAGACUCCUACGGGAGGGAGCGGUGGAGAAUUUUGGACAAUGGGGGAAACCCUGAUCCAGCCAUCCCGCGUAUAUGAUGAAGGCCUUCGGGUUGUAAAGUACUUUUGGCAGAAAAGCGGUAUCUGUAGAAUAAGCACCGGCUAACUACGUGCCAGCCGCCGCGGUAAUUC